AGCAGGCCUGGGGAACAAUGAGUAAGGCAGAGAGGGAAUAGGGACUUGUAGGCCACAGUGUGGACUCUAGCCUUUAGUCUGAGCUGGGGACUCACUGGAGGAUUCUGAGCAGAGCAGUGACAUGAUUGGGCCUACAUUUUUAAGACUUAACCCUGGCUGCUGUGUUGAGAACAGGUGAUCAUGGGGCACAGACAGAAGCAGAAAGGUGAGCUGGAGGAAAAGGAGAGAAAAAUUGACAUCUGGUGGAGCAGAAAGAAACCAGCUAGAGCACUGGCCUUGUCAUUAUCUCACUGUUGUGAUGAACUGGCGCUUUCUCAUCUCCAAAAGCAGGGCACUGAACUAGGAGAUCGCCACGUCACAUGAUGAAAAACGCUCAAACUAACACUCUUUAUCCUUGUGAGCAGCCCUAGUAGCAGAUUUAAUGUGGGAGGAGGUUCACACUACUGGAUAAAAAUCAAGUUUUAGGAUUCCAUGUUAUCUAAGCUGACCACCCCACGGCAGAGGAUCAAGACGUAGCUAAAUAUGGUCCUCAGGCAAGCUUCAUUUCCCCAUCUGUGAAGGGAGAGUAAAUAUAGCAUACACAUGUUAAGAUAAAUGAGAGAGUUGGUCAAGUGUUUUGAGCUCUUCGGCAGACAAGCCUGACUUUCCAAAAAAAGACAAACCACAACUUUGGAGCCAGUGCUAUUUCUUCUGUGCAUGGUGAGGUGACUUCCCCAGUUGUAAAGGAUUUAGGGCUGAAAUUCCAUAUUGUCUGGAGCUAUAAUUACAAGUCUCUUUCACUAAAACAGAGGUCAGCUGGGCUAAAGCAUGUAGAAAGAAGGUAAAUGUCUGGCCACAUUUCCAUGUGGCAUACUCCUUUCCUAACUUUUUGGCACAAACUUCAUACUGAUAAAAUAUUCACUCCUUCACUCCACAAAUAUCUGGCAAGUAGAUGCUGAGCACUGUGUAGAGAGGAGUAAACACAGCACAGAUUCUGCCCUCCUGCCGCGCAGAGUACAGCAGAGGAGCCGCCUGCGCACAGGGCUGUGAGCUAGGGCAGUACCACCCUAUGUCUGGGGGGCAUUUUAGACAUUUGGGAGGUGCUUUCAAUUGUCAAAAUAAGUGGGGAAACUCUGCCACCAGGGUGGGAGCCAUGGUGCUACAUGACCUGUGUGAGGGAAACCAGCCCCCGGCCCCGCAUAACUGGUGAGUGAACUGCUAGACAUUCAUAAAUCUGAAAAAAACUCUCGUGGGAAAACAGCCUGUUGCAUAGCAAGAGUGAUGCCAUCUUUAAGUAAAAAUGCCACGAUGACCUAAUCUUUGACGCCUACAAUUCAAGGUGUUCCAGAGCAUAGAGAAGCCCUCAUAACCUCCCCAGUAGUCAUGAGUUUCUAAAGGAAGUCUGAGACAUGAUGAACUUCCUGUGUCUUACCCUCAAGGCCUGCUAUAUAAAAGAUACUUUCUGGAGGUUGGUUGUGAGACUCCACCAUCUCUUGGCCUACCUACACAUCAUUCCUAACAUCUGUUUCUAAGUCUCUGUGAAAUAUUUCUUUCUGAGAAA